ACGGGUGAGUAACGCGUGGGUAACCUGCCUUAUACAGGGGGAUAACAGUUGGAAACGACUGCUAAUACCGCAUAAGCGCACAGUGCUGCAUGGCACGGUGUGAAAAGAUUUAUCGGUAUAAGAUGGACCCGCGUCUGAUUAGCUAGUUGGUGAGGUAAUGGCUCACCAAGGCGACGAUCAGUAGCCGGCUUGAGAGAGUGAACGGCCACAUUGGGACUGAGACACGGCCCAAACUCCUACGGGAGGCAGCAGUGGGGAAUAUUGCACAAUGGGGGAAACCCUGAUGCAGCGACGCCGCGUGAGUGAAGAAGUAUUUCGGUAUGUAAAGCUCUAUCAGCAGGGACGAAGAAAUGACGGUACCUGACUAAGAAGCCCCGGCUAACUACGUGCCAGCAGCCGCGGUAAUACGUAGGGGGCAAGCGUUAUCCGGAUUUACUGGGUGUAAAGGGAGCGUAGACGGUGAUGUAAGUCAGAUGUGAAAGCCCAGGGCUCAACCCUGGGACUGCAUUUGAAACUAUGUGACUAGAGUGCAGGAGAGGUAAGUGGAAUUCCUAGUGUAGCGGUG
rnacentral:rRNA from 1 species